GGGUCAGUAGGUUGGUCGUGCCACCGGUACGUACUGGUCUCACUGAUUCCUCCCUCCUGAAGAACCGUAAUGCCAUUAAUUUGGUGUUGCGGGGAAACAGGACUGUUACUUUGAAAAAAUUAGAGUGUUUAGAGCAAGCUAACGCUUGAAUACAUUAGCAUGGAAUAAUGAAAUAGGACGAUCGAUCCUAUUUUGUUGGUUUCUAGGAUUGACGUA
rnacentral:rRNA from 1 species